rnacentral:rRNA from 1 species
GACGAACGCUGGCGGCGUGCUUAACACAUGCAAGUCGAACGGAAAGGCCCUGCUUUUGUGGGGUGCUCGAGGGGCGAACGGGUGAGUAACACGUGAGUAACCUGUCCUUGACUUUGGGAUAACUUCAGGAAACUGGGGCUAAUACCGGAUAGGAGCUCCUGCUGCAUGGUGGGGGUUGGAAAGUUUCGGCGGUUGGGGAUGGACUCGCGGCUUAUCAGCUUGUUGGUGGGGUAGUGGCUUACCAAGGCUUUGACAGGUAGCCGGCCUGAGAGGGUGACCGGCCACACUGGGCCUGAGCUACGGCCCAGACUCCUCCGGGAGGCAGCAGUGGGGAAUAUUGCACAAUGGGCGGAAGCCUGAUGCAGCACCGCCGCGUGCGGGAUGACGGCCUUCGGGUUGUAAACCGCUUUCGCCUGUGACGAGGCGUGAGUGACGGUAAUGGGUAAAGAAGCACCGGCUAACUACGUG